rnacentral:lncRNA from 1 species
AGGAGACCCAAGAAAGAUGGUACCCUGGUAGGGGACUUUUUGGUGAAAGGAGCUAUUUGACUUGGUGAUCUUUUAUAUCCUAAACAGUGCUGAUUUACUGUUACCUUUUUUUUGUACAGUAUAUAUGCUGUACAGUGUAUGUUGUACAGUCUUUUCUAAGUGUGCUGGACAGAAGUAAGCUCUAGAAGAAAUUAUUUACAUGAGAAUUGUCUCAGUUCUGCCAGACAGAGAAGAGCGGCUUGGGGAGAGAGUCCCAUAGCAUCUGGUUGGAGAUGAUACAGACGCUUGGGGGGAGAACUCCUCUGAACACUGCAUCCUUUGUGCAUCAAAUUUGACUCUGUAUUAGAACCACAAGUGACAAGAGGUGCGCUUGAUGACUCUUUAAAAGCAUGCAAAAGUAAAUAAAACAUGAAAGAAAAGUAGGAUUUUGAAACCUAUAGUAUCUUAAAUAUUGUUAAUAUAUUCUAAUGUGCAUAAUUGAGAGUUUGGCAGGGUUAAGAUUUCUAAAUGGGGCUGGGUGGUGGUGGUGGCAGCAGCAGCGCACGCCUUUAAUCGCAGCACUUGGGAGGCAGAGGCAGGCGGAUUUCUGAGUUCAAGGACAGCCAGGCCUACACAGAAAAACCCUGUCUCAAAAAACAAACAAACAAGCAAACAAACAAAAAGAUUUCUAAGUGGGACACCAUUCUCUUUGAGAUAUUAAAGACAUUGCUUGUGUGUCUCACUUGAAUAUUUUAAAUUAUUACUUCAUCCAUUUGACACGCAAUCCAGUGUAAUUUGCUGCUGUGAAUUGUAUACAAAAGGACUUUUUGAUAUAAAGACUGACGUGUGACAUGGCUUUUGUGCCUCUUUGCACCUAUAUUUGUGCAUCUUAGGUUCACUGUCAAAUUUGUGUUGCAGUUGUAUUCCCAUCCUUGUUUAUGGUCAUUAAAAACAAAAGCAAAAGCAACUUCUUUCCUCUGAUGUUCCUUGAACUUUAGGAGAGAACUCAGUAUUCUAAUGUUUUUACCCGGAACCUUUGUAGACUUCACACAAUAAUCUUAUAAUAUAGAUGCUACUCUUAGUAUUUUAUAGAUAAGGAAAUGGAGACCCUAUUAAGUUUAAACCCUACUUAACUGUAAGAGGAUAAUGCCUUUUGUGAUACCUUCUUUAUUCCUUUAAAGGCAAGCACUAACUGUAUGAAUUAAUUAUAAUUUUCUGAUUGUCUAUGGUUAUUAAUUUCCAUUUUAUGGUAUGGGGAAGAGUGAAACAAGGCAAAAACAGAGGCCCUCAGAUGACAGCACCACAGCUCCAUAAACUUAAUUUAACAAUGAUUUUUGAAAUGCCUUUGCCCAAGGUGGGCAGGGAUAGCAUUAUACAGGAAGUUUGGUUGUUUUAUAUGUAGCCCUGGAACUCACUAUGUAGACCCCCUGCUUUUGCCCCUUGAGUGCUGGGAUUAAAGGCAUGUACCACCCACAUUAUUGGAAACUGAGUUUUUAAAUGCUUUUCCCCCCUUAAGAAGAAAUACUCUUAAGGUUAUAUGGACUGAUGUUUUAUAUGAACCAAACUCAGAUUUAAAGUGUGUGCAUGGUAAGAAAGAAACUGAAUCUUAGGGCAAAGUUCUUAUAAGAAUAAACCACUAAGUUUAACUUGAAUGGAGUAAGAUAGGGUAAGGCAAAAGUAAUUUAAUAAAAUGAGUUCUUGGGAAUUUUAAAAGUUAGGCAUAAAGAGAUGGUAUAGGUUAUUACUUUUGAGAUAACAAAUGAUUUGUUUUUGUAUGGACAGAAGUCAUUGGUAGAUUAUGUAUUUUGAACAAACACAGGGGAGAGGAAGUGAAGCAGCUAAUGCUCCAAGGGUGUGCGGCGUCUUUAUGCUGUCGUUUAAUCUUCUGUGUUGAUUGGCUCACAUUCACGGUGCCCUAAGACUCCUGUAUUCCUCUUAGAAGUAAAACUUACAUGUUAAUUCUCUGCUUUAGCAGCUCUGAUCCACCAAAAUUGUACUUGAAAGAAUAUCUUUCCUUGUGAAAUUUUAAUCAUGGCCAAGACAAGCAGCAGAUUAGAUAUAAAUCUAGAAGCUUCAGUAAAGAUAAACAGUAUAAUGUUGGGAUCUGUUUUUGAAGUAACCAAAAGCUGGAAAGAGAAGAGUCGGGAGAAGAGGGAGAUGUGGCCAGAUACUACAGAAAUAUAAUAGAUGUAAUGACAGGCUUGUCGUCUUGAGAGAAGAAAGAACCCUAUUACUUCAUCGAAAAUGGCUAAGUAUUGAUCUUGCUUUGUUUUUCUAGAGCAGUGAGCAGCUCAGUGCAGGGCAUCGUUUCUUUGAUACAAUCGUAAAGCAUUAGUGGAAUAGCCCUUUAAUCAACUCGUUUUUAAAAAGGAACCAGUUGUCUGGCUCAGUGCCUUUGCCGUCAGUCUCUCUAUCUGUUUAUUGCUGAUUUGACAGUCUCUGGUCCUCCUUUGCUGUUAAAUGUGUGUGUCCUUUGUUUGUGCUGGUUUGCUACAUUUGGAUGUGAGAGAAAAGCCUGUCUUUGCCAUAUUGGGCUAAUUAGCCUUCUGGGUGAGCAUCUAUAUUAAAUAGACCUUCUAAACCAUGAAAGAAGAGAGUUCACAGCAUCGUAGAUUUUCUUCAUGUACUGGGGUUUCGUCUGUUUUAUUCCCUCCACGAAUUGAUGGCCGAAAGCUCGUCCGGAAUGCUUCGUUUGGAGGAUACAAUGAACUUUCUCCUUCCUUACAAGGUUGGUUUGUUUCAUCUUGUGUUCUUGCCUUAAUUUCUUACAUUUUCUUAAUGAAAAUAAUACGGGGAUUUUUAAAAUCUUAACAUCAUGUUUCAUUUAAACAAGUGUGUUGUGAAAGCUUAGCUUUCAGUAGCUGCCUAUCUGUAGCCGGGCUCUCCCUCAUCUUCUUGUACUAGUCUCUUCAGCUGAAACUUGAGAGCUCCGAGUCAGUAAAAUAUGAAUCUUGAUUUUUUUAUCAUGUGCAUUUUGAUUUAAUGUAGUAGUAAAUAUAUGACCCUGAUGACAGUUAAAACAUUUCCGAAUUUGAUAUAUAAUACAUAUAUAUUCCUGUAAAGAAAUGGUAUUGACAGAGGUAUUAGCAGAUGAAAGCCAGACAUUUAACAUGAUUAGCCAUUUCUGUAAAGGAGUCAUUAUAAUUAAUGUUUAUCAUAUGUGCUUUUCUUACAACCUUUUAAUUCUUGACGACAGUAAAGUUUUCUAGGUAUAUAUUUUUUGCUAGACUUAUUCAUGUGGAGUUAAUUUUUGCUAAGAAAAUUAUAUGUUAUAUACAGUAUAAUAUUUAUUAAAUGAAAUUAGAUACUUUAAAGCUAUCAUUUAGGCAUUAAAUGGUCAAUAAGAUGUAGAAAACUUGAGCUUAUAUUUGAAAACUAUUGUGACAAAUAUUUGGUUAUUCAUUUUAAUAUUAACUAAAAUAAAUAAAUAUAUAUAUUGACAUUUACAUUUUUUGAAUUUGAAGUAGAGUUUUAGUUUUACCCCUAACCUUUUUGGGUCUUUGUGAAUAACUAUAAUGACAAUAAAGCAUUGUUUUGAGAUACCUAAACAUUAAAUAAAUUAUAAAUUCACUAAUUUCAGAUUCUUUUCUAACAAUGUUUUC